GAACACCACAACACUGUGUGGAGCAGCUGCUCUGUUUUUAGUUUGUUCUUAGUUCAGUGAGUGAACAUGUUGAUCCCUAUUAUAAUACUGCUGUCAUCAACUGAAGGUUCCAGAGCCUCAGAAGUCAUCACUCCAAUAACUGACAGAAAAUUUGCUCUUGAGGGUGACAAUGUGACACUCUCCUGUAACUACAGUGGUUCUGCUCGUGGUGUUCACUGGUAUCGUCAAUAUGCAGGUUCACCACUACAGUUCCUCAUAUUGGAAAAUUCAGGGGCAAAAAUUGAAGCUAAUCCACCCAUUCCAGGAAUAAACAUCAAUCACAAAAAAACAGAAAUCCAUGUGGAUCUGGAGAUCUCCUCUGCUGCUGUCACUGACUCCGCUCUGUACUACUGUGCUUUGGAGCCCACAGUGAAAGGAAACCCACUGCAUGCUGUACAAAAAGCUGUUUAAAUAAGACUAAAUGUAAAACGUGGGGAUGAGGGUUUAUGUUUUUUAAAACAUCACACAGAUACUUCUUAUAAAGUUCCUAUAUUAGUAGAUCUUUAAGAAUCUGUCAUAAAUGUUCUGUGGCUGAAAAUUGAAGACAGAUUAUU